GCGAGGAAGAGCGCGAUGAUGAGCAGCACCAGGGCGAUGAUGAUGUACUUCUUGUAGUUUCGCCAAAUCAGGUGGAAGAAACACUUGAAGGGAUUGACGAACCACGAGAAGGAGGUGUCCGGACGGCUGGGCGUGCUGCGUCCGAAGGCCCGCCAAUCGACAACAGUGAUACUCAGCGGAGGAAGGAGGUUUUCGUUCUCCGGCAACUCCUGCACAACAAUAAACCUGUAGGUGCUGAGAACGGGCCUGAUGUUGGCAGGAACCCUGUAGAUGCCUCCUCCCUCCUCCUCCUCCAACGGCGGCAGACUUUCCUGUCCAGACUCUGGGAUCUACGACACAGCGAUGUCUCUUCAUUAUCAAUGCACAUAAUAACUUUCAGACCUGGAUCUUCACUCUCUGACACAGAGGAGGGAACAUCUCUGUAAAGACGAUCUGCUCGUUCCACACCGGGUCGGCUGUGGACUUCUGGGUGGAUGUGCGACCCUGAGAGGUGAGGCCAAAGAUCAUCUUGGCCUUUCUGCAGGACAAAGACACUUUCACAGUAAGAAGAAAACUUUCUCAUUUUCAACCUCCUCUGCAGCACAAAGCUGAUUUCACAUGACUUCAAUCGCACGGCUAUUGAUCGAUUGCUGAGGAACAGACCGGAGGCUCCUUGCUCCUUGUCCUAAAGACAACACUUCAUCAACAUCAUCCCGUCUCGCUCCAUGUUUGUGGAGCGGCUGCGGCUCCAGCGGUUCUGUUUCUUUAGUGUUGUUAGUUUGAGAUCUAGUUCAAAGGGGCCUGCCCUUCUCAUCCACUGAGGAAGAUUUAUUCACAUGUUUCCCAUCAUCGGUUUCCGACGCUGCCUUCACUGUCACGAGUGUCUCACAGGUUCAGUGAUGAGUCACUCAGGAAAGUAAAAUCGUCCUCAAAGUACAGAAAGUAUUGCCGCUAGACGAUAUGAUUGAUGAUUGUCAUAAUUGUUGUCAUAUAUUGUAGAUAAUGAGAGGAUUAAAGUCGUUCACCUUGAAGAACUUUCUGACUUCUUCAGCCCUAAACCAAAACAGCACAUCAUGGUGCGUUUAGUGCAAACACAAAGCAAAUUUUUCGUGCGAUGAGAUUUUACAUCCAAAGACAAUUCAAAAACGUGAAUUUACGCAAAUUUGGUGUGGAACAGUUUGGAACCUGAGAGUGUUGAAAUCUUUAAACGGAAGAUUAAAGGCUCUCUCUCCAGCCUGGUGUUUGAUUUGUUUAUAGAUGUUAUUGAAUUUCUUUCUAUUAUUUGAUCGUUUGUAUCUUUGUUUGUCCAUUUGUAGCUUUUUAAAUCUUUCAUGGUAUUUCAUUGCACUCACCUGUAUGAAAGGUGCUUUGCAAGUGAAGUUUGAUUGAUUGAUUGAUUAGUCAGGUUUUAGAGGUGUUAGGAGAGGAGGUGAGUCUUCACGAGGUUCUUGGAGAUGGAGAGCGACGUCAAUCUUCUUGAAGAAGUCAGAAAGUUCCUAGAUUCGUCUAAUUCAUUAUUGGGUUUAAUCUUCUUGGAGAAAGAGAGUGACGCCUGUUGUUCGUUUCACCAUCAGAGAACCAAAGAGUAGAACCACAGAGGAGAACCGUCUGGAAUGUGAUUGCUCAUGUAUACAGUGAUGUCAAUGCCAGGCAACGUUUCUCACACACAGUUCUUGUUGCGUUGGAUGAAGGUAAAUCUUUGUGUGAGCACAGUCUGACCUUUAGUUUAGGUUAGAGGAUUUAAAAAAACAAAAGAUCCCAAUAAAUAGAUAGUUGAAUACAUGAACCAGUUGACUCUCCUACCUCAGUUUGGGAU